rnacentral:pre_miRNA from 1 species
UCUUAAGGAUGAGCAAAGGGAGUAGUUUCUUGAAGUGGAAUCUGCUGCUGGUGAAGAUGCUGUGAA